rnacentral:rRNA from 1 species
UCGACGAACUUCCGUUAUUGAUUAUGACGUGCUUGCACUGAAUGAGAUUUUAACACGAAGUGAGUGGCGGACGGGUGAGUAACACGUGGGUAACCUGCCCAGAAGCAGGGGAUAACACCUGGAAACAGAUGCUAAUACCGUAUAACAGAGAAAACCGCCUGGUUUUCUUUUAAAAGAUGGCUCUGCUAUCACUUCUGGAUGGACCCGCGGCGCAUUAGCUAGUUGGUGAGGUAACGGCUCACCAAGGCGAUGAUGCGUAGCCGACCUGAGAGGGUAAUCGGCCACAUUGGGACUGAGACACGGCCCAGACUCCUACGGGAGGCAGCAGUAGGGAAUCUUCCACAAUGGACGCAAGUCUGAUGGAGCAACGCCGCGUGAGUGAAGAAGGGUUUCGGCUCGUAAAGCUCUGUUGUUAAAGAAGAACGUGGGUGAGAGUAACUGUUCACCCAGUGACGGUAUUUAACCAGAAAGCCACGGCUAACUACGUGCCAGCAGCCGCGGUAAUACGUAGGUGGCAAGCGUUAUCCGGAUUUAUUGGGCGUAAAGCGAGCGCAGGCGGUCUUUUAAGUCUAAUGUGAAAGCCUUCGGCUCAACCGAAGAAGUGCAUUGGAAACUGGGAGACUUGAGUGCAGAAGAGGACAGUGGAACUCCAUGUGUAGCGGUGAAAUGCGUAGAUAUAUGGAAGAACACCAGUGGCGAAGGCGGCUGUCUGGUCUGUAACUGACGCUGAGGCUCGAAAGCAUGGGUAGCGAACAGGAUUAGAUACCCUGGUAGUCCAUGCCGUAAACGAUGAUUACUAAGUGUUGGAGGGUUUCCGCCCUUCAGUGCUGCAGCUAACGCAUUAAGUAAUCCGCCUGGGGAGUACGACCGCAAGGUUGAAACUCAAAAGAAUUGACGGGGGCCCGCACAAGCGGUGGAGCAUGUGGUUUAAUUCGAAGCUACGCGAAGAACCUUACCAGGUCUUGACAUCUUCUGCCAACCUAAGAGAUUAGGCGUUCCCUUCGGGGACAGAAUGACAGGUGGUGCAUGGUUGUCGUCAGCUCGUGUCGUGAGAUGUUGGGUUAAGUCCCGCAACGAGCGCAACCCUUAUUACUAGUUGCCAGCAUUCAGUUGGGCACUCUAGUGAGACUGCCGGUGACAAACCGGAGGAAGGUGGGGACGACGUCAAAUCAUCAUGCCCCUUAUGACCUGGGCUACACACGUGCUACAAUGGAUGGUACAACGAGUCGCGAAACCGCGAGGUUUAGCUAAUCUCUUAAAACCAUUCUCAGUUCGGACUGUAGGCUGCAACUCGCCUACACGAAGUCGGAAUCGCUAGUAAUCGCGGAUCAGCAUGCCGCGGUGAAUACGUUCCCGGGCCUUGUACACACCGCCCGUCACACCAUGAGAGUUUGUAACACCCAAAGCCGGUGGGGUAACCUUUAGG